AUUGAACGCUGGCGGUAUGCUUAACACAUGCAAGUCGAACGGUAACAGGAGAGAGCUUGCUUUCUUGCUGACGAGUGGCGGACGGGUGAGUAACGCGUAGGAAUCUGCCUAGUAGUGGGGGACAACUCGGGGAAACUCGAGCUAAUACCGCAUACGCCCUACGGGGGAAAGCGGGGGAUCUUCGGACCUCGCGCUAUUAGAUGAGCCUGCGUUGGAUUAGCUUGUUGGUGAGGUAAUGGCUCACCAAGGCGACGAUCCAUAGCUGGUCUGAGAGGACGGUCAGCCACACUGGGACUGAGACACGGCCCAGACUCCUACGGGAGGCAGCAGUGGGGAAUAUUGGACAAUGGGCGAAAGCCUGAUCCAGCAAUACCGCGUGUGUGAAGAAGGCCUGCGGGUUGUAAAGCACUUUCAGUAGUGAAGAAAAGCCUGGAGUUAAUAACUCCGGGUCUUGACGUUAACUACAGAAGAAGCACCGGCUAACUCAGUG
rnacentral:rRNA from 1 species